rnacentral:rRNA from 1 species
UUGAACGCUGGCGGCAGGCCUAACACAUGCAAGUCGAGCGGUAACACAGAGAGCUUGCUCUCGGGUGACGAGCGGCGGACGGGUGAGUAAUGUCUGGGAAACUGCCUGAUGGAGGGGGAUAACUACUGGAAACGGUAGCUAAUACCGCAUAACGUCGCAAGACCAAAGUGGGGGACCUUCGGGCCUCAUGCCAUCAGAUGUGCCCAGAUGGGAUUAGCUAGUAGGUGGGGUAACGGCUCACCUAGGCGACGAUCCCUAGCUGGUCUGAGAGGAUGACCAGCCACACUGGAACUGAGACACGGUCCAGACUCCUACGGGAGGCAGCAGUGGGGAAUAUUGCACAAUGGGCGCAAGCCUGAUGCAGCCAUGCCGCGUGUGUGAAGAAGGCCUUCGGGUUGUAAAGCACUUUCAGCGGGGAGGAAGGCGGUGAGGUUAAUAACCUCAUCGAUUGACGUUACCCGCAGAAGAAGCACCGGCUAACUCCGUGCCAGCAGCCGCGGUAAUACGGAGGGUGCAAGCGUUAAUCGGAAUUACUGGGCGUAAAGCGCACGCAGGCGGUCUGUCAAGUCGGAUGUGAAAUCCCCGGGCUCAACCUGGGAACUGCAUUCGAAACUGGCAGGCUAGAGUCUUGUAGAGGGGGGUAGAAUUCCAGGUGUAGCGGUGAAAUGCGUAGAGAUCUGGAGGAAUACCGGUGGCGAAGGCGGCCCCCUGGACAAAGACUGACGCUCAGGUGCGAAAGCGUGGGGAGCAAACAGGAUUAGAUACCCUGGUAGUCCACGCCGUAAACGAUGUCGAUUUGGAGGUUGUGCCCUUGAGGCGUGGCUUCCGGAGCUAACGCGUUAAAUCGACCGCCUGGGGAGUACGGCCGCAAGGUUAAAACUCAAAUGAAUUGACGGGGGCCCGCACAAGCAGUGGAGUAUGUGGUUUAAUUCGACGCAACGCGAAGAACCUUACCAAGUCUUGACAUCCUGCGACGCACAUAGAAAUAUGUGUUUCCUUCGGGACGCAGAGACAGGUGGUGCAUGGUUGUCGUCAGCUCGUGUCGUGAGAUGUUGGGUUAAGUCCCGCAACGAGCGCAACCCUUAUCCUUUGUUGCCAGCGGUUAGGCCGGGAACUCAAAGGAGACUGCCAGUGAUAAACUGGAGGAAGGUGGGGAUGACGUCAAGUCAUCAUGGCCCUUACGACCAGGGCUACACACGUGCUACAAUGGCAUAUACAAAGAGAAGCGACCUCGCGAGAGCAAGCGGACCUCAUAAAGUAUGUCGUAGUCCGGAUUGGAGUCUGCAACUCGACUCCAUGAAGUCGGAAUCGCUAGUAAUCGUAGAUCAGAAUGCUACGGUGAAUACGUUCCCGGGCCUUGUACACACCGCCCGUCACACCAUGGGAGUGGGUUGCAAAAGAAGUAGGUAGCUUAACCUUCGGGAGGGCGCUUACCACUUUGUGAUUCAUGACUGGGGUG